AUUUAGAUUAUUUGGAUUGAGAGAAAAUGAAAGGAAAAAAUAUAAGAGAAAGUAUGUAUUUUGAUUUUAAUUUUAGUAUUUUAAAUUUUAUUAUUUGAUUUAAUUAAUUCAGUUUAGUGUAUAUUUAAAAAAAAUCUAUUGAAUGCUAAGUGUCUUUAUAUUAUUGGUCCACAAAGAUUAAAGAAAAGGAGUUUAGUGAUACUAUAAUUAAUAAGAGGUUUAGUGAUAUAAAUUAAAAUUUAAGGAUUUUAAUGACACUAAACUCAAAUUUGAGGGACAGUCAAUGUAAUUUACCGUCUAAGUUAUUAGUUUAAAUAGCAAUUUUUUUUGGUUUUAGGUUGUUUUUCAGUUGAUUGUAAUGGGACGGGUAGCUCUCGCAGUGGGGGUCUUUCAAUGUUAUGGAAUAAAGUUGUUGAUCUCUCUUGAUUUCGUAUUUGAUUGCAUCAUGUGUCGUUUCAAGUUUCUACUCCUAACUCUUCUCACAAGUGGUCAUUGACUGGAUUUUAUGGCUGGCCCGAGCAGGAGAACAAAUAUAAGACUUGGGAUUUGCUUAGAUUGUUAAAUCCUGGUAAUACACAUGCAUGGGGUUGUGUUAGUGACUUUAACAAAGUCAUGUGGACGCAUGAGAAGGAAAGGGGUAUUAUAAGAUCGAACGUGGCCAUGAAUAUAUUUAGAGAGGCAGUGGAGGAUUGCGAACUUAUGGAUAUGGGGUUCGGAAGAAACAUGUUCACAUGGUCAAAUGGGCAAGAGGGGGAUAAGAAUAUAAGAGAGCGGCUGGAUAUGGCAUUAAAUAACAAUGCAUGGAGCUUGAUGUUUCCAGCAGAUCUAGUUCGACACUUGGUACGUGUUCAAUCUGACCACUCCCCUAUUUUCAUUUGUUUUGAUGUCUGCAGUGGGAAUAAUGAACUGAGAAGAAGGAAAGAAAUAAGAAGAUUUCUAUUCGAAAGUAUGUGGCUACAUCAUGAGGGGUGUAAGGAAGCGGUGAGAGAAGGAUGGAAUGGGAGGGAUUUUAUAGAGAAGGUUUAGAGUUGUGGAAAUAAAUUGCAAAAAUGGGAUAGUGAGGUCUUCGGAAAUGUUGACAGGAAAAUUGCUUUGGUUAGAAAGCAACUGGAAGUGUUGCAAAAUAAACCUUUCUUUCGCUAAUUUGUUUGAAGGUAAAAGGAUGGAAGGUGAAUUAAAUGAACUCUUGAAGUGUGAAGAGUCAAUGUGGAGACAACGUUCUAGAAUUUUAUGGCUGCAGGAUGAGACCGCAAUACAUCUUUUUUUCAUGAGAAAGAACUCAAAGACGGAGGAAUAAAAUAGAGGGGACUAGGAAAGAGGUGGGGGAGUGAUGUAGAGGAGAUAGUGAAAUUGCAUAAGUGAUGACUGAAUAUUUUUAGAAUAUUUUUAAAUCGGUUACCCCUAGGAAUAUGCAUAAAGUUUUGGAUACAGUUGAGCCUAGAGUCACUAAUGAGAUGAACAAGCGAUUAACCUAACCUUAUAGACCGGAGGAGAUAUAUCAAGUUCUGAGGCAGAUGCAUCUGUCUAAAGUCCCGGGAUCAGAUGAGAGUCUGUCUGCUAUGAUAGCUGAUGCGGAGAAAAAAUGUGAGAUUCAUGGUUUCAGAGUAGCUCGUACUGCACCGACCAUCUCACAUAUAUUUUUUUGUAGAUGACAACAUACUCUUCAGUAGAGCUACAAUGUAGGAAGGGGACAAAAUAGCACAAAUUUUAAAUGUUUAUGCAGAGGCAUCAGGACAACAAAUUAACAUGGACAAAUCAGAGAUGUCUACUAGCAGGAAUGUUCUUGUGAAUAUGAAGCAACAAAUUAUUGACAGACUUGGUGCUAAAGCAGCAGAGAGCCAUGAAAAGUACUUGGGAUUACCAACUGUGAUUGGUAAAUCUAAGAAAGAAGUUUUCCGGUUAGUGCAAGACAGGAUGCUUAAUAAAAUGAAGGGAUGAAAAGAGAGAUCGUUGUCUAAAGCGGGGAAAGAAACAUUAUUGAAGGCGGUGGUGCAAGCGAUACCUACAUAUACUAUGAGUCGUUUCCUGUUUCCAAUAUCAGUUUGUAAGGAGAUUGAUUGAGAGUGCUAUGGCCAGAUUUUGGUGGGGUCAUCAAGAGGGAGAAAGGAAAAUACAUUGGGGGCUAAGUUGACACAAUCUAAAGCAUCGGGUGGUCUUGGAUUUCGUGAUCUCCAUUGCUUCAACCUAGCGAUGAUUGUGACACUCACUCUUUAGCUGUCCAAAUUCUAAAAGAAAAAUAUUUUCCAAGGGGUUGUUUUGAUACAGCGAAUAUUGGAUAUCAACCGAGUUAUCUAUGGUGUAGUUUGAUGGCCUCUUGACAGCUAGUGUUGGAAGGGUCGGCUUGGCGAGUUGGUAAAGGGCAAAGUAUUAAGAGUGUGGCAUGAUAAGUGGAUAGAGACAAUAAAUGUGGAGAAGUUGAUUUUUCUACAGAAUUCAUUGCAUGAAGAGGCGAGAGUAGCUGACUUAAUUGACGAAGAUUUGUAACAGUGGUAAAGUGAUGUGGUGCAAAGAAAAUUUCUCAAGUGAGGAGGCAAAUAAAAUUCUUUAGUAUAUGCCAAUAAGUUCUCGGUUACCUAGAGACGAGCAAUAUUGGCAACAUACUAAAUCUGGUAAAUUUAGUGUACGAUUCGCCUAUCAUUUGGCUAUUUCCAUUAUGUCUUCGCAAGCUAUGUCUCGUCCAUCCUCUAGUAGUCAGGACCCCAACUGGAAGAAGUUGUGGAGAAUUAACAUCCCACCUAAAGCGAGGCAAUUUCUGUGGAGAGCUUGCACUGAUACCUUAACAACUGGUUCGACGUGGCUGUGAGAUGGAUUACACUUGUCAACUGUGUGGUUGUGCUGAAGAGUCUUGGACACAUCCGACUUUGAAAUGUCCACUUAUCCAACGUCUAUGGUAUGUAAGGCCACUACGAUUUCAUGUCACUACCUUCGGCAAUGGAACUUUUAAGCUCUUAUUGUGGAAGUAGAUGGAGUCUCUUUUCAGCUAUGUUGAGCUAUUUAGUAUGAUACUGGUCUAUGUGGAAUGCAAGGAAUAAGUUAUGUUUUAAAGCUAAAGAGUUUCAAGACCUCCAACAGAGGACGUGUAUCUUGGAACAAGAGCCACCCGCAAUUGUCAAAUGGAAUUUGCCCGAACAAGGAAUGAGGAAGGCUAACACGGAUGCUGCAAUUUACAAGGUGGGGAAGAUGGGUUUUGGAUAGGUGUGAAAACUAGCCGAGCCGAUAUAAACAUGUCAUUAUUUAAGUCCUGCUCUAUCAAAUUAUAUUAGUGAUCAAAAUCGGUUCAAGUUUAAGAAAUUUUGAACGAGUUCGAACGAGUUAAAGAAUGAGUCGAGCCUGAGUAAAGCUGAAACCGUUCAAGAUAAUAAUAUUUUUUAAUAUUUUAUUUA